rnacentral:lncRNA from 1 species
GAUUUCUCGUUAAUUAACAACUUUUAACAACUUUAACUACCGACCAUCCCUAAAACAAGUGGCAAAAAAUUUGGUGGUUGAUAUCCGAGAUCUCAAAUUCGAAUUCUUCACAUUUACAGCUAAACUUAUUUCUAAAUAAAAUAAACGAAAUAGGUGGCGUGCUAUUUAUCUAUCAAAAAAAAAAAAAAAAAAAACUUUAACUACAUUUAC